ACGGAAGGCAGCAGUGGGGAAUAUUGGGCAAUGGGCGAAAGCCUGACCCAGCAACGCCGCGUGAAGGAAGAAGGUCUUCGGAUUGUAAACUUCUUUUAUGUAGGACGAAGAAAGUGACGGUACUACAUGAAUAAGCCACGGCUAACUACAUGCCAGCAGCCGCGGUAAUACGUAGGUGGCAAGCGUUAUCCGGAUUUACUGGGUGUAAAGGGCGCGUAGGCGGGGAUGCAUGUCAGAUGUGAAAUCCAUGGGCUCAACCCAUGAACUGCAUUUGAAACUGUGUCUCUUGAGUGUCGGAGAGGUAGAUGGAAUUCCUAGUGUAGCGGUGAAAUGCGUAGAUAUUAGGAGGAACACCAGUGGCGAAGGCGAUCUACUGGACGAUAACUGACGCUGAGGCGCGAAAGCGUGGGGAGCAAACAGGAUUAGAUACCCUGGUA
rnacentral:rRNA from 1 species